UUGCUGCACCCAUAUCUUUCAUCUCAAACUCUUCAGACAUCUGUCUCUUUAACUUGUUGAUUUCCCUCAUGUUUGAUCCUGCUAUUAACAUGUCAUCAACAUACAACAACAAUAUGAUAUAUGAUGAGUCAAACCGUUUAAAGUAACAACAAUGAUCCAUUGCACUCCUUGUGUACCCAUUCCUCAUCAUAAAGCUGUCAAACUUCAAGUACCAUUGUCGUGGUGCUUGCUUCAAACCAUACAAGCUUUUUAUAAGCUUGCAAACAAGGUUUUCUUUUCCAGCUAUCUGAAAACCCUCUGGCUGUACCAUGUAGAUGUCUUCAUCAAGAUCACCAUGUAAGAACGCGGUUUUAACAUCCAGUUGCUCUAGAUGUAAUUCCUCAGCAGCCACAAUACUUAACACAAUUCUGAUAGUAGUCAUCUUAACAACCGGAGAAAAUAUAUCAGUAUAGUCAAUACCCUUUUUCUGUUGAUAACCCUUGACUACUAACCUUGCUUUGUACCUCUUGCUGCCAUCAGGUUCAUCUUUGAUCCUGAACACCAACUUAUUCUGUAAAGCCUUCUUCCCUGCUGGUAAUUCCGUUAAAGACCAAGUAUCAUUCUUCUCAAGAGAAUUCAUCUCUUCUUCCAUGGCUGAUUUCCACUUAACUGAAUCAUCCACCUGAACUGCCUCUGAAUAACACUGAGGCUCUCCAUCCUCGGUCAAUAACAUAUAAUAUGCUGAAGGUGAAAAUCCAGCUAUCUGAAAACCCUCUGGCUGUACCAUGUAGAUGUCUUCAUCAAGAUCACCAUGUAAGAACGCGGUUUUAACAUCCAGUUGCUCUAGAUGUAAUUCCUCAGCAGCCACAAUACUUAACACAAUUCUGAUAGUAGUCAUCUUAACAACCGGAGAAAAUAUAUCAGUAUAAUCAAUACCCUUUUUCUGUUGAUACCUCUUGACUACUAACCUUGCUUUGUAUCUCUUACUGCCAUCAGGUUCAUCUUUGAUCCUGAACACCCACUUAUUCUGUAAAGCCUUCUUCCCUGCUGGUAAUUCUGUUAAAGACCAAGUAUCAUUCUUCUCAAGAGAAUUCAUCUCUUCUUCCAUGGCUGAUUUCCACUUAACUGAAUCAUCCACCUGAACUGCCUCUGAAUAACACUGAGGCUCUCCAUCCUCGGUCAAUAACAUAUAAUAUGCUGAAGGUGAAAAUCUUUGUGGUGGCCUCACAGUUCUGCUAGAUUUUCUUACCUCAGCCUCUGGAGUAACUGGAACAUUAUCAGAACUCCCACUAUUUCUUGCAAGAUCUUCUUCUGUAAUAUCAUCAAGCACUGC
rnacentral:lncRNA from 1 species